GACAUGUUGGCAGUGUGGUUAACGCAAUGGACUGCUAGUCCAUUGUGCACUGCAUGAGUGGGUUUGAAACCCAUCCUCGUCG
rfam:Danio rerio chromosome 4, GRCz11 reference primary assembly.